CGACUACAUUAGAUACCCCUGUAGUCCUAGCCGUAAACGAUACUCGCUAGGUGUCGGCCACGGUGCGACCGUUGUCGGUGCCGUAGGGAAGCCGUGAAGCGAGCCACCUGGGAAGUACGGCCGCAAGGCUGAAACUUAAAGGAAUUGGCGGGGGAGCACAACAACGGGUGGAGCUUGCGGUUUAAUUGGAUUCAACGCCGGAAAUCUUACCGGGACCGACAGCAACAUGAAGGCCAAGCUGAAGACUUUGCCGGAUUAGCUG
rnacentral:rRNA from 1 species